CGUUUGAAACUCGUUUUAAUCUGUGCCAUUUUUGCGUACAUUUGAAACCUGUUGCCUUAAUAAACGUCCGAUUCUUUUCAGCGGAUAGAGGAGCUGACGCUGUUCCAACAAGUAAAUAUAUAUCCUGAGGGGAAGGGUGCAGUUUUCUGGAUAAAACUCUUUGGUCUAUAUAAAGAUUCUGAGUUUAAAAAUCACACGAGGAUUCACUCCAAUGAAAAGUAAACAUUCCUUUUCUCGAAAAAUUUAAUUGCAGAACUAUUUACAGGAGGUGAACAUCAGCAGUACAGAAAUCAGAUGAGAGAGGCAUUAUCCUAGAAGAAGUCAGGAAAGAGUGAAAAAAGAGUCAGGAGAGAAAAGAACCCAAGGAACACAAUCCUUCAAUGCCCUGAAGUGAUGACCAACAUCUGAUCAGAACUUAUCCACAAAAAGGAAGAGAGCGUGGUGUGGACUGCGCCCUGUACAUUCAGAGUAGGUGUCCUGCAUGCUACUGAAGAGAACUUAUCAAAAGAACCAGAAAAGCAUGAGAAAGAGAAUUCCUAAAAUAGUUUAAUUCCAGGGAAGAGUGAUUCUGUACAGAUGUAGAAUAUUUGGCGCUCUGUGGUUGAUAUGAUUCCAUAUGUAUAUAUAUCUAUAUAUAUAUUUAUAUACUUUUUUUUAAAACGUUAACUAAACCAGCUAGUUUCCUGGUUCUAACAUCCCUUGAAUUUCUGUAGGAGGCAUUUCCUUUAGUCCUUAGGCCACAGCUGGGUGUUUUGGCACGUGACGUGGGGGGUGGGCGUGUGGACUGCUCUCCGGGCAGGGAGGACCCGUACGGAGGGGACAGCAUUUGGAAAUCAGAGUUCGAAAGUAGCCUGGGGUUCACUACUGGCGAGGGGAAACUUUUAGAAUUUGGUAAACCAGGUGUAAAGUGAAGGGAGAGAGACGGACGUGCUGAGCCCUUUAAAGUGAUGUGAUCAUGGCAAAGCGACGGGCUGGGCCGUGGGGGCGGGGCGGGGCGGGGCCCGAAGGGCAGGGGCGUGGCCUCCAGGAGGGGGCGCCACAAACGGCCGCGGGGUCCCUGCUUCCCUGUCGCCCGAACAGACCGACCUCUCGUCUCGUCUGCUGGACAGACGGAACCGUGUACACACACUGCAGAGACCGGUCCUUCCUCACUGAGGACGUGAAAGCGUGCGUUUCCAAGGCUUUCAGGUUCGGAAUAAGCACCCAUGAUGAAGAGUCACAUAAAAUCUAAGAAAGUAGGGAGGUAAACCCCUGUUGUUUCUCUCUGUGUGUAUACAAAAUCUUUUAAAAAGUAGUGUUGUGGUAGGUAACUAACAUUUCCUCUGCAAGGAAGUCAGCUCCAAGAGUUUAGAUUGAAACUUGAAAUAAUUCUUUUUAACGCUGGAUCAGAACGCCAGGGUUACGACAGCAACCGGGAAAAUCACGGGGAUUUCGCGAUGCUUGAAGGAUGAAAAGAUGGCGGCUGCUCGGAGCGCUCUGCCGGACCACCUGGCCUUCUCCGAGGUACAGAGGGGUCAGGACGCGCGGCCAGGGCCGGGCGAGGCGGUGGCGCCCUCACUAGCCUCCGGCGAUUCCGGUCAGGUCGUCUAAUUCCGCCCCUGGCACGGUCCCACAUGCUGUUUUCUGCUUCCAAAUUGUUUUUUCUUUGUCGCUUUCCUGUUUCACUUAAGACCUUGUCAUUUCCCCUGAGAUGCAGGUGUGCCCAAGCAAUGGUGAUAACACAGUCUCAUUCUGGGGGGUGCCUGGCCCUUGUUCAGGGAAACAUUCAGAAACGCUUGCUGUCCAAGCCGGAGAAAAUGGAGAAAGGUCCUCUCAGGGCUCUCUCCACUUCCAGGCCCUCAAGAAGCUCGUGAUCGCCUCCUGCUGGGCCCAGACAGCCUUCCCAGGAGGGGACCGCUGAGCCUGGUACUCAGGAUCUGACUGGAUUCCACAUGCAUCCCACACAGAGCAGGUGGGACCCGCUUUAUCAAGAAUGGGGACACUUUCACAACCAGCUCAGAAGAUGUCAGGGCCAUCAGUCUUACACAGAAUGUCAGUGAGGGCGACAGGAACAGGAGAGACGGGAACACAGAGUCAAGACAAGUUGUGGAUGAUGUAGGAACAGAAAGCCAGGCUGCUCGGCCAGCCGACUGGAGAUUCCCAGGUUUCUCUUUCGACUGCAGGACCCUCUGCAGCCACUCUGUGCUAAAGGGCACUUCCUCAAGUGUGAAAGGGCACCUCUCCCAGCAUCGUGUCCACUACCCACAUUUACUGCAACUCUGAACGGAGUAAAGUGACAAGGUGGAGCUCUUGCUGUGAAGGCGCAGGGCUCUGAUGUGACCCGGUGCCACGCGUGGAGGACAGACAGUGCAGGGGAGGCUGACAGGGCCACGCCCAUUGCUCUAGCCCCGGUGGUGAGAAUGUUCCGCUAACCAGCAGCAGCUAUAGUCUCGGUCACUUAUAUUUGAGGUUUUCUAUUUUAUUUUCGAAUUUUGGAACAGUGUCUUUAACCAAAACUUUCAAACAAGUGUAAACAAAUAUGCAGAUUAAAACAAAGGAGACUCUCAAGGUGUUCCAAGCGGCUGGUGUUUGAAAACCAGUGUCUCCAACUACCUGAUUCAUAUGUUAAAUAUGCAAAAAAAAGAAAAAAAAUCCAGCAGUUCAGGCUUUGAGAAGAAGGGAGGUGCCUGAGAAACAUGUGGGGUUAAAGGCGUGUGUGGAGCCAUCUGGUUGAUGUUGGGCGUGUGGCAGGAAGGUGCCGCUUCUCAGAACGGCAGGAGGCCCACGUCCCACGCCCUCCGCAGGCUGACCCGUCGGGGCCACCUUUCUGCACCCUCGGUGGGACACGCCCCUGCCCCGUGGCCAAGGUUUGCAGGGCCUCCAUUCCCCUGGACUGGGCGCUGGCAACUGAUUCCAGACUGCACGUGGGGCCUUCGGGAGUGGACAGGAGUCUGGAGGAGCUGAGGUUCUCCAACCAAAGCAGCUCAAGCCUUGGCUGGGUCUCCCGGGAUGCUCCUCAGAGCGCUCACGGUCCCUGUGACUGGACCCAGGUACUGCUGAGAGCAGAGGGUUUCUCGCAGGGCCUUCCCCUUUCUCCUGCUUCUUACGCGUCACCGGAUGCUUCGGCCCAAACCAGGCAGCUGCUCUAAACAGCUGUCCUCGGUGCCCCUGCAGGCACUUGGACUGGAUGUCUGCGCCAUGCCUUUCCUUCCCAGGAAAGUCCAUCCUGGAUCUGGCUGAAGACCUGCGUGAAAGUGCAGUGUGGGGUCUUCCAGUGAAGGUGAUGGAGAGGUGACUGCCCCAUGCAGACUUGGGAAGGGUUGAACAGGAACACAGACCCCCAAAGAAACAUCCCAGCCCCACAUCUGUGGGCCCUGGAUGGUGCUGUCUUCUGGCCAUAAAUUUGGUCACUUCUAUCUCUAGGCAUCAGCAGGGACAGUCUCUACUUGCAAGGUCACUGACUUGGUGGUUAUUUUUGUUUAAAGAGGGAAUCAUCAAUAUAGACUGAUCUUUUUUCCUAAUCAUACACUUUCCUAUUUAAUGCUGGACGUCUUUAGUAUCGACUUUGAGGUGAAUACAUCAACAACAUUUCCUUUUAAACAAAAAUGUAAUUUUUUGGUAUCAUACCACAGUUCAACUCUUCAUCCCCCAUUCUAGGAUGGUCCCAUCAAUUUGCUGAGAAACAGUGGUAACAACUGUCACUAACCGCUCUCAUGUUAAAGAUAACUAUAACCAAUGAAGAUGUAUGAGAUGAAUUACAUUGAAAGCGCACUUGUGAACAAGUGAGACUUGCCUUUUCUGGGUUUUGUUAAACACUAGGACCCUGUUUAUCAUACUUGUGUUCUGAUUUGGAAAGUCACGCAGGGCCGUCAGCACGGCAACAGCAACGUGUUGGUCGUGAGGAAAAUGGUUCUAAAGGGCACCUGGUUAUGAUGGUUACAGGCGUUAUCUCCAGGGAAGGGAAGUGUGUGAUCACAGAGAACGUGGCACUUCCUUUCCAUCACAAAUGUGCCUAGAAUGCGGUGUGUUAUCAUUUUCAACCAGAUUCUCAAUCCUGAAGAUCAUCUUUUGCUAAAUUGCAUCCAGGAUGUGAUGAAAUGGUCACAGAGUAGCUAUGUGCUCUGUGUCUGUAGGAGUGACUGUAAGAGUUCGUGUGAUGCAGGAACACAAGUAUUAUAAACAGUUUUAUUUCUCUUUACAUGUACAACGUGUAAACAUGGCUUAUCGUCUGCCUUUCAUGACGGGAUGUCACCACGAGAACGGCUGUAUUGCACUUGGUCGUGUCCCACACACGGUGACACUCAUCAGACGCCGCCGCACGCACACCGCCCCUCCCCCCACAACCUUCUUUGGAAAAACGUGGAUCAAGUAGGGGAUCGGACACGCGCCCCACCUCCAACCAACAACCGACGUCAAGUUUAGUUUAGGGACUUCUUAACUACUCAGCUUUAAAAAAGUAAAACUGUGAAGCUACACAUGCUUUGCUAUCACCUGCGCUCCUACGAACCCCGUGCUUCAUGGAAUGUGGACUAUGAGGAAAAGAAACGCUGCAGGCGGCAGGCGCCUGCCUGUGCAAGGACGUCACCGGAGCUCUCACACGCGAGGCAAGAAAUAUAUUCUGGACUUCACCUGUACUGCAUAGGACAAAAGAAUUCUGGAAAAAUACAAUGUAAACCACAUUUCUUCUUUACCAUUUAAACUGAGAUAUACUUACCACACACAUUCAUAUUUCUUAAACUUUUUACAGCAUUACAACUGUCAUUUUAAACAAGCAAACUUUUUUUGUUUUGUUUUGUUUUUUAAGGAUACCCUGGAAAGUCAACUGAUAGAGCAUUUGAGAAUAUAUAUACAUCUAUAAAAAAAAAAUCACAUGGAGCAUAAAGGGUGAAACUUAAAGACAGAACUGUGGGUGAUAGUUUAAGUUACAAAGGGAUAAAAAAUAAACGACUCUUUUAUCUGAUUAAGGACAACCGUGUUCUCUUUCUACCCCUGCUACAGAAGAGUCAGCCUCUCUUAAGACUCUGUUUCCGUCUGUCUCUCCCUGUGUGGACGGAUAUUCAGCUGACUUCUGGCCGUGGAGAUGCUGUGCUGAGUUUGGGGGCGCAGAGGUGGACUUCCACCCCAGGUUCCCAGAGAAGCGCGAGGCGGGGAGCUUGGUGGCUGCAGAGACGAUUCCUCAUCACCAUGGACUUGGCACAGGAACCAUGUGAGGGGUCGCCGGGUUCAGGGCACAGGGAGCCCAGGCCGCGGGGUGGGGGUCUUCCUUUCCUGCACUCAAGCUGUAGCACCUUCUCUUGGGGUAUCUAAUGCCUUGAGAGUGCUGAGACACACCCUUUCACAGUUGUUUGUUAUUCUCGCCUCUAAUAUCACACGAUUUAUAAAAAUAUAAAUAAGAAAGUGUGAACUGGG